UAUAAGGGAUUUUGAGUUUUAGUUUGCAUUGUUUGACCACUCGUCUUAUUCAGAAAGUUUUGGAAUUAUUAUUUAUUUUUUUUGACUUACUUUAUUAUCUAAAGUACUUUAAGCAUAAUUUUUCGUUUUUUAUAUUUGCACAAAUUUUUUGAAUAAGACGAGUGGUCAAACAAUGCAAAUAGAAACUCAAAAUCCCAUAUAUU
rnacentral:pre_miRNA from 1 species